UACAGAGGUCUCAAGCGUUGUUCGGAUUCAUUGGGCGUAAAGGGUGCGUAGGUGGCUUGGUAAGUCGGUUGUGAAAGUCCAGGGCUCAACCCUGGGAUGCCGACCGAUACUGUCGGACUAGAGUUCGGAAGAGGCGAGUGGAAUUCCCGGUGUAGCGGUGAAAUGCGCAGAUAUCGGGAGGAACACCUAUGGCGAAGGCAGCUCGCUGGGACGUUACUGACGCU
rnacentral:rRNA from 1 species